GAUCAUUUCAUUCUGAAACCCCUGCCAUUACCAGAGACUCAUUCCAAUGGACCAGAUCGCUCAAAGUCCCAUCCAUCUGAGCACUAUUUAGAGCCAAACUGGGUGGGUAGGUGCCUCCUUCAACUACAGCAGUCUCCUAUCAUGAACACCUGUGGAAGUUUUGGGGCUCUCCAAAACAUAGCAAGCACCUCACCAGGAGUGCUCAGGCUGUUCUGAAUUAGUAAAUAGACACCUCUCCUGCUGCUGGGGAGACAACCAUGGCUCUGAGUUAACUGAGCAAAGACACAAUGCACAGAAUAGGAGAAUAUUCAGCUUGGUGGUUUUGGCUCAAGCAUUUUUCUCAUGCCAAUAGCCUUUCAGAGCUGACUUCAGAAGGUACCUCCUGGUUGUACCUUAACAGGAACUUCAGCUCAGGGGAAACCUGGCUAUAUGCUGACCACAGUGGAUGUCCUGCAAAGCUCUUCUCUAAGAAACACCUCUUCUGUCUCUCCUCAUAUUUUAUCCUUGAAGGAGAGCUUUUGCUUGGAUCAGAGAAGAGCAGAACAGGUCGAGUCCAGGCUUAGAGUGAAGCCUGUAUUUGCUUAGGUAAAGUUCACAUCAUGAAUUGCCUGAACCCACCUGAUCUGGUCUCCCUGGGUUGUAAAUUGGCAAGAGCUGAGACAGUGGCGACGAACGACGACCACAAUGAACAGGCAGCUCUUACUUUCUUAUAUAAGCAGUUUCAGGACAUUUUGCAAUGGUUUCAAGCACGCAUGAACUUUGCUUCCCAUUUUUGCCUUCACUGUGCCUGGCCGUGGCAUCACCGUGUUCCAGAGGAGUUUAUUAGGUCUAGACUUAAAUUAUGGGUGUCAUAUGAGUGAAAUAAAACACAAGUUAGUGAGGUAAUGAUUAAAGAACAAUCUCAGGCCCUGCA